rnacentral:lncRNA from 1 species
GUUUCAAGUAAGAGUCUUCUUUUCUUGUUGGUAUAAAACUAUUGUCCCUUUUGGUCUCCCUUCCUCGUUGGCUUAUUCCAAAGAAGAAGUGAUAUUCCAAAGCAAACCACUAAGAUAUGAGAUCUAAAGAUGUGCCUGAAGAAAACAACAGAAGAACCAACAUCUUUGUCUCAUAGCCAUAGUGAGAGGCAUCUGACUGGAAGUGGAUCGUUACCUAACUCCAUUUAUGGCCUUCGAUUUAUAAAAAUAAGGUGUUCUCUGGUGCAAAGGCUUUCCUGUCUGCAAAUAAUACAGAUGCCUUUACCUCAUCUUUAUCUAUUUCCUGGAAUGCUUUAAGAACAUGGAACUUCAUUAAAAUAAAUGCCUGUGGGCUGGGAAAUAACUUUGAGGAAGAGCGCCUGGUGUGCUGUGCAGGAAGCCUUGAACUCAAUUCCAACCUGCAGUAAAUUUAACACAACAACCCCCUUGCUGGCAUGUGGCGCAUCUCUUGUUUCCCUCAGUGAAUAGGUGACUCAGGUCUAAGUGUAAUGGCUUCCCUUUGCUGUGUCCUUUACAGGUACAUAGUCCCUCCCUUUAUCUCACAUGCUUUGGUUCUAAAACUCACAGUUGAUAACUAACCAAGAUUAGCUGUUAUUUCAGACAUGUUUCUACUUUUGAUAGCUAUAGCUUUUACACUAAUCUGGCAUAAUUGUUUUCAGUUAUGUCGUGGUAAUCUCCAUACUGUCGAUGAUCUGAAACACAGAGGCAGUUUAUUUUUUAAAAAUAAAGAAAGAAAAAAGUCACCUUUCUCAA